rnacentral:rRNA from 1 species
AUUGAACGCUGGCGGCAGGCCUAACACAUGCAAGUCGAGCGGAUGAGGAAAGCUUGCUUUUCGAUUCAGCGGCGGACGGGUGAGUAAUGCCUAGGAAUCUGCCUGUUAGUGGGGGAUAACUCGGGGAAACUCGGGCUAAUACCGCAUACGUCCUACGGGAGAAAGUGGGGGAUCUUCGGACCUCACGCUAACAGAUGAGACUAGGUCGGAUUAACUAGUAGGUGAGGUAAUGGCUCACCUAGGCGACGAUCAGUAACUGGUCUGAGAGGAUGAUCAGUCACACUGGAACUGAGAAACGGUCCAGACUCCUACGGGAGGCAGCAGGGGGGAAUAUUGGACAAUGGGCGAAAGCCUGAUCCAGCCAUGCCGCGUGUGUGAAGAAGGUCUUCGGAUUGUAAAGCACUUUAAGUUGGGAGGAAGGGUAUUCACCUAAUACGUGGGUACUUUGACGUUACCAACAGAAUAAGCACCGGCUAACUCUGUGCCAGCAGCCGCGGUAACAC